AUACUUACCUGGCAAGGGAGACACCGUGAUCACGAAGGCGGUUCACCCAGGGCGAGGCUCAGCCAUUGCACUCCGGCUGUGCUGACCCCUGCGAAAUGUGGAAAUCUCGAUUGCAUAAUUUAUGGUAGUGGGGGACUGCGUUCGCGCUCUCCCCUG
rnacentral:snRNA from 1 species